GGGCGGACAAAAGAGAGACAAUUAAACCAACACGGAAACAAGAUAUUUCGAUUGUCAUAAAUGCUACAAGGGAAGAAAACCGAGAGUGCUGAGAGACUGAGCACUUCCGGACAGCCUCUCCAGGAGUCCAGCUGGAGCCAAGACCCAGAGAAUGAAGAGCAAGAGAGAGUGUUUCAGACAGAGGUCCGAGGGUCAGAGGCUUGAGGUGGAGAAGACACAGCCUUGAGGAUCCCACAGAAGCCAAUGUGGAGACCAGGGCCAGAUCGUUAGGGGAUCGAAGGCCACAUAGUUCCCCUCUUCUCCAUGGUUUUGCUUUCUGCGAUUAACUGGCCUCAAUCCAAAAAUAGGUGAGUAUAGUACGAUAAAAUAUUUUAUCACAGUAUAUUGCUAUAAUUCUUCUAUUUUAUUAUUGUUGUUGUUCAUCUCGUACUAUUGUUUUUGUGCCUAAUUUAUAAGUUAAACUUUAUCAUAGGUACAUACGUAUAGGAAAAAACAUAGUAUAUAUCUAGCCUCAAUUUCAGGCAUCCACUGGGGGUCUUGGAACAUAUCUCCCUUGGAUAAGGGGGGAGACUACUCGAUGCAACCCUGCGAUUCUAGUACAAAAGCAGCCAUAGACAAUUACAGUAUAUAAAAGAACGGGUGUGGUUGUGUGUUCCAAUAAAACUUUAUUACAAAAGCAGGUAGCAGGCAGGGUUUCACCUUCCAGGGUGUAGUUUUCUGGCACCUGAUUUAGAUUCCUCGGAUCUUUCUCUGGGAUUAAGACCCUUAGGGCUCCCUGUAGGCCUGAUUUAAUUUUGUCACUCCCACUUUAAAAGCCUUUCAAUGGCUUCCCAUUAUUGUUGCAAAAUGUGGCCUUGGAUCAUAUCGUUAGCCAUUAGAAUCACUUGAGCUGCUUUAUAUAUGUAUUUAUUUUUUAUUUUGAGACAGGGUCUCACUCUGUCUCUGAGGCUGGAGUACAGAGGUGUGAUCAUGGCUCACUGCAGUCUUGAACUCCUGGCCUGAAACUGAUCCUCCCGCCUCAGCCUCCCAAGUUGCGAGGACUACAGGCACACACUACCACGCCCCGCUAAUUUUUUUGUAGAGACAGGAUCUCACUGUGUUGCCCAGGCUGGCCUUGAGCUCCUGGCUUCAAGUGAUUUUUCUGCCUCAGCCUCCGAAAGUGCCAGGAUUAUAAGUGGAACCACCGUGCCUGGCUCUGAGCUGCUUGUUAAAAUGCAGAGUUCCAGGCUCCUCUUCAGAGCCACUAAAACAGCAUCUCUAAGGGGCAGGCAGUGGAGUUGGAUUUAAACAAGUCUCCUCGAGAGAAUUGCAGUUCAGUGGUUCUCAAAAAGUGGGGUCCAUGGGCCCCUGAGGGUCCCCCAAAUGCUUUUGGGGGGUUUGUGAUGCAGGAAGGAAUAAUGCAGUAUGUUGGGGUGGGAGGAGAGCCUCACAGGGAGGUGAUGGCCGAACAAAGGCCUGAAGGGGGUUAGGAAGCCAUCCUGAGCCGUCCCUGGGAGAGUGUUCCAGCAGGAACAGCAAGUUUAAAGCCUCUGAGGCUGCUGUGUCUGGCAGAAGGCCACUGUGGCUGGCUUGCUGGAGGGAAGAAGGGGAAAAAGAGAGCAGUGAGAGAGGAGGAGAUGAGGCCUGAGAGGAAAAGAGCCAGGCAGGUGGAGCAGGGCCUUGGAGGCCAUUGAAGCAGGGCCUUGGAGGCCAUCUCAGUAAAAGGCCAUUGGCUUUUACUCAGAACAAGAUGGGAGCCACUGGAGAGUUUUGAGUAUGCAAGCUAUUCCAAGAAUGUAACCACCUCUUCCUCCUUCUUCACACACUUCUUUCCUUCCUCAUUGAGUAUUUAUCUUCCCCUUCCUGUUGGCUGUUAAGUUCCUUGAGGACCCAGGCUCUGUCUUACCCAUCUUUAUCCCAGUAUCUAGCAAUGCCCAGGGCCACACAACCAACACUGACAAAUACAAGAAUGCCGCUGUGUUCCUCUGGCAUGAUUCUCAUUGGAGCUGGGUAUAUGGGAAAAGAAUCAUGCUCACUACUAAUGAAUGAACAAAUGAGCUGCGGGAAGACUGUGUAUGACAGAUGCUCACCUUUCCUUUCAUCCCUUUUCACCUUAUUCUGAUAAGCCACAAAUGCAGAACUGAAUUCAGAGGAUCUACUGGAUGACACUUGUUUCGUUAUUGGUGACAAUGGACCCAGCACUGCCAAACUCUGUACAGAGAUGCGUGGAUUGGUCUCUGUCCUCAAAAACCUGCAGCCAACCUGAGUGGACAGGACUAACAUGCUGAAACAAGUAGAGGAUGACAGAGAUGCUACAGACUUGACUACUGCACUGCAUAGGUCAGCAGUUGUAUUAGUCUGUUCUCACACUGCUAAUAAAGACAUACUUGAGACUGGGAAAUUUAUAAAGGAAAGAGGUUUAAUGGACUCACAGUUCUACAUGGCUGGGGAGACCUCACAAUCAUGGCGGAAGGCGAAUGAGGAACAAAGUCAUGUCUUACAGGAUGGCAGGCAAGAGAGUGUGUGCAGGGGAACUCUCCUUUAUAAAGCCAUCAGAUCUCAUGAGACUUAUUCACUCUCAAGAGAACAGCUAGGGAAAGACCCACCCCCAUGAUUCAAUUACCUCCCACUGGGUCCCUCCCACAACACGUGGGAAUUAUGGGAGCUACAAUUCAAGAGGAGAUUUGGGUGGGGAUACAGCCAAACCAUAUCAGAGGUGCAGAGAAAAGUGGGACCUACAUGGACUGGAGGGGGAAAAAAAAAAGGAAAUUAUCUUGUGAUUGCAGGGUUUAGGCAGCAGCAUGGCUCAGUUUGGGGAAAUAAUACCUAGAAUUAAAUCAAUUGGUCUUACCCUUGCACCUACUUAUUUAACCAAACUUUGUACGUGCCAGGCAUUCUUCUAAGUGCUUUACAAAUAAUAUUUUAUUCAAUCCUUAAAACAACCUGUGUAGUAGACUAUUAUUAUCCAUGCUUUUUAAAUUGUGGUAAAAUAUACAUCACAUACAAUUUACCAUUGUAACCAUUUUUAGGUUUAUUAUUCAGUGGCAUUAAACACAUUCAGUGUUGUGUGACCAUCAUCACUACCCAUUUCCAGUCUUUUUUACUAUCUCAAACAGAAACUUCAUAUUUAUUAAACAAUAACUGCCCAUCUGUCCUCCCCCUAGACUCUGGCAACCACAAUUGUACUUUCUGUCUCUAUGAAUUUGCCUAUUCUGGGUACCUCACAUAAGUGGAAUCAUAUUUGUCCUUUUGUGACUGGUUUAUUUCACUUAGCAUGAAGGUUCAUCCAUGUUGUAGCAUGUAUCAGAACUUCAUUCUUUUUUCUUCCUUCAGAGUAGAGGAGGGAAAAAUAAUUUGAUUCCUUUUUUAGACUGAGUAAUAUUCGUAUAUGUAUGUAUGUGUGUAAAUAUAUGAUAUAUGUAUGUAUACACAUUUUAUUUAUCCA
rnacentral:lncRNA from 10 species